rnacentral:misc_RNA from 1 species
AAUGAACUAUAUUUGAAUUUUCAGGGUAAAAACUUAUAGCCGUGGAUUCCUUGUAAGUUCCAAGAGCAUAAGUCUCUCCUACAACCAUUUUUCUGGUGGCCGAUCAAACUACUACAUUGAGUUACAGAGAGAAAAGAAAUGCUUAUUUCCUUAAUUAAAGAUAAAACUUCCACAAAAAGCUGCCUUCUAUAAUUUUUCUGCAUAGCAUAUGGACCUGUGGAAGCAAUUAAACAUUCAAUCUUGGUAACUGAGUAACUGUUGACGACAAAUUCAACAAAAUUGUCUUAAGGCAACUUUCCACGAUAAAAUUCAGAAUACACCUGAAAAUUAUUUAUUCUAGGUGGAAUGGUGGAUGCAAUUUCUAAUAAGAAAACAUUCAUGAACAGAUAAAAAUCCAAGAAUAAUUGCCAGUACCAUUAGUAUGACAAUGGCCUAAAGUCAGGAAGCAUUUUAUCAAUAUAUCAAAUGCCUCUUAAAAUUCUCAUCACAAAAAAAG